rnacentral:rRNA from 1 species
AACGAACGCUGGCGGCAUGCCUAACACAUGCAAGUCGAACGAGACCUUCGGGUCUAGUGGCGCACGGGUGCGUAACGCGUGGGAACCUGCCUUUAGGUUCGGAAUAACUCAGAGAAAUUUGAGCUAAUACCGGAUAAUGUCUUCGGACCAAAGAUUUAUCGCCUUUAGAUGGGCCCGCGUUGGAUUAGCUAGUUGGUGGGGUAAAGCCUACCAAGGCGACGAUCCAUAGCUGGUCUGAGAGGAUGAUCAGCCACACUGGGACUGAGACACGGCCCAGACUCCUACGGGAGGCAGCAGUGGGGAAUAUUGGACAAUGGGCGAAAGCCUGAUCCAGCAAUGCCGCGUGAGU